ACGCACCACGGAUGCGUUGAUCCUCGGGCACCAGCAGCACGGUCGCCCGUCGCGUCGCAGGGGCUCCUUCAGGGGCACUCCUCCGCGCGAUGGCCUGAGGGGAGCGAGUGGCGAGACCGGCCGUGAGCUGA
rnacentral:ncRNA from 1 species